rnacentral:rRNA from 1 species
GUGUCAGCCGCCGCGGUAAUACGUAGGGUGCAAGCGUUAAUCGGAAUUACUGGGCGUAAAGUGUGCGCAGGCGGCAGAGCAAGUCGAGUGUGAAAGCCCCGAGCUUAACUUGGGAAUUGCGCUCGAAACUACUUUGCUGGAGUGUGGCAGAGGAAGGUGGAAUUCCAGGUGUAGCGGUGAAAUGCGUAGAGAUCUGGAGGAACACCGAUGGCGAAGGCAGCCUUCUGGGCCAACACUGACGCUCAUGCACGAAAGCGUGGGGAGCAAACAGGAUUAGAUACCCUAGUAGUCA